AGUUUCUCGGCGCCAUUUUGUCUGGGCAGCGGUGGCUGCAGGUCUACCGUAUUUUAUGUUUCUGGCGAGACGAGAGCGGAAUCUUUAUCCCGUGGAUUCAUUUAACUGCGGCAACCAUCCACCGUUCCCUCCAGGACAGCACCUAGUGAAGAUCGGAAGAGUAGCGAUCUGUCAGAAAGGUCAGUUGGAAGCGGUAGUUGUCCGGUGGACUGGGGGAUGGCGCAGCUCUAGCGGCACCGGCACCGGAAGUGAGGGGGCCGCUCGGCAGCCAUAGCAGAUUGGUCUGAAGAAAAGGACAGGUAAGUGACAAACAUCCGGAAGUAUUACUGAGAGGAAGCCUCGCUUUGUGGAAUAAUGAAGGAAAGUGUUCGUGUUUUUAAAUGACUUGGAUCUGCUCUCUGUUGAAAUUGUAUUUCUGCUCCCUGGCUCUUUGUCCACUCUCAUGUUGGAAAUGGUGAGAGAACUGAUGCUGAAUCAUAAGUAUGAUCCAUUGUAGACAUCUAAAUUUUUGCAUUGAAUCUUUACUAUCACUUGGUUGCUGCUGACUCUUAAACCAAUUGGUCUACUAAAGGUUCCUUUGAGAAUGACAGAAAUGAAAGCAAAGGGAUAGUCUUAUCAGACAAGUGCUUUUUUAUCUGAAUGUAUUCGGUUUCUUCCAUAAGAUGGCUUUAGUAGCACUUAGUUGUCUUUAACUUCAUUCGAAACAAUUUUGUUAGAUUGUAUCGUGAUAGCUGUUAUAUCAGCGUACUUUUUUAAAAAAGCAUCAAAAUUGGUGAAUUUUUGUGUAGCCAUUUUAAUAUUGAAGAUGGAAGGAAAAAACAGCAGCAUAUUAUGCUUUAUUCAAGAAAGGUUAAAACACAACUGAAAAGGCAAAACAUUCGUGCAGUGUAUGGAAAAGGUGCCGUGACUGAACGUGUCAAAAGUGGUUUGCAAAGUUUUGUGGCAGAGAUUUCUGACUGGACGAUGCUCCAUGGUCGGGGAGACCAGUUCAAGUUGAUAGCAAUCAGAUCGAGACGUAAAUUUCAGAACAAUCAACGUUAUACCACGCAGGAGGUAAGCCAACAUACUCAAAAUCUCCACAUCAGGUGUUGAAAAUCAUUUGCACCAGCUUGGUUAUGUUAAUCGCUUUGAUGUUUGGGUUCCACGUUAAGCGAAAGAAACCUUGACCAUAUUUCUGCACUGCGAUUCUCUACUUACGUAAUGAAAACAUUACGUUUUUAAAAACAAAUUGUGAUGGGCAAUGAAAAUUGGAUACUGUACAAUAAUGUGGAAUAGAAGAGAUGUUAUGGAAGAACCCGAAUGAACUUUUUUGGCCAACCCAAUAUUAUUUGUAAUCUCUAAACCAAAACUUUAUUCUUUAAAACGUUUGUAAUUUUCUUUCCUAGGUACCAGUAUCGAGGUUUACAGUAAUAAGGUAUUCAGUCUUUGCUGAAAAUAAAUUUGUUAUCUUGUCAAAGUAAAA